AUGCUCACUUUCCAGCAUAUAUAUUAAAAUGGGAACAAUGUAGAGAAGAUUAGCAUGGCCCCUGCCUGAGGAUGAUGCCCAAAUUCAUGAAGUGUUCAAUAUUUUU
rnacentral:snRNA from 1 species